ACCAAACCGAGGUCUAAUAUCUCCCACUUAUUCUACACCUCUUAUGUCUCCUUACACUGCCAGAUUAGAGUCAAGCUCAAAAGGGGUCUUCUUUCCCCGCUAAUUAUUCCAAGCCCGUUCCCUUGGCUGUGGUUUCGCUAGAUAGUAGAUAGGGACAGUAGGAAUCUCGUUAAUCCAUUCAUGCGCGUCACUAAUUAGAUGACGAGGCA